CCUACGUGAGGCAGCAGUGAGGAAUAUUGGUCAAUGGACGAGAGUCUGAACCAGCCAAGUAGCGUGAAGGAUGACUGCCCUAUGGGUUGUAAACUUCUUUUAUAAAGGAAUAAAACGAGGCACGUGUUCCUUUUUGCAUGUACUUUAUUAAUCAGGAUCGGCUAACUCCGUGCUAGCAACCGCGGUAAUACGGAGGAUCCGGGCGUUAUCCGGCUUUGUUGGGUUUAAAGGGAGCGUAGAUGGGUUGUUAAGUCAGUUGUGUAAGGUUGCGGCUCAACCGUAAAAUUGCAAUUGAUACUGGCAGUCGUGAGUACAGUUGAGGUAGGCGGAAUUCGUGGUGUAGCGGUGAAAUGCUUAGAUAUCACGAAGAACCCCGAUUGCGAAGGCAGCUUACUAAACUGUGACUGACAUUGAUGCUCGAAAGUGUGGGUAUCAAACAGGAUUAGAUACCCUGGUAGUC
rnacentral:rRNA from 1 species